rnacentral:misc_RNA from 1 species
UACGGAGGGUCCAAGCGUUAUCCGGAUUUAUUGGGUUUAAAGGGUGCGUAGGCGGAAGAUUAAGUCAGUAGUGAAAGCCUCCCGCUCAACGGGAGAACUGCUAUUGAUACUGAUUUUCUUGAAUAUAGUUGAAGUAGGCGGAAUACGACAUGUAGCGGUGAAAUGCAUAGAUAUGUCGUGGAACACCGAUCGCGAAGGCAGCUUACUAAGCUAUUAUUGACGCUGAUGCACGAAAGCGUGGGGAGCGAACAGG